UUACUACUCCCUCCGUCCGGAAAUACUUGUCAUCAAAAUAAAUAAAAGAGGAUGUAUCUAGAUGUAUUUUAGUUUUAGAUACAUACAUUUUUAACCAUUUUGAUGACAAGUAUUUUCGAACGGAGGGAGUAAUUA
rnacentral:pre_miRNA from 1 species